rnacentral:rRNA from 1 species
UACGUAGGGUGCAAGCGUUAAUCGGAAUUACUGGGCGUAAAGCGUGCGCAGGCGGUUUUGUAAGUCAGAUGUGAAAUCCCCGGGCUCAACCUGGGAACUGCAUUUGAAACUGCAAGGCUAGAGUAUGUCAGAGGGGGGUAGAAUUCCACGUGUAGCAGUGAAAUGCGUAGAGAUGUGGAGGAAUACCGAUGGCGAAGGCAGCCCCCUGGGAUAAUACUGACGCUCAUGCACGAAAGCGUGGGGAGCAAACAGG